GAGCGGCAGACGGGAGAGUAACACGUGGGAACAUGCCCUUCGGUUCGGAAUAACUCAGGGAAACUUGAGCUAAUACCGGAUACGUCAGGAGAAAGAUUUAUCGCCGAAGGAUUGGCCCGCGUCCGAUUAGCUAGUUGGUGAGGUAAUGGCUCACCAAGGCGACGAUCGGUAGCUGGUCUGAGAGGAUGAUCAGCCUCAUUGGGACUGAGACACGGCCCAAACUCCUACGGGAGGCAGCAGUGGGGAAUAUUGGACAAUGGGCGCAAGCCUGAUCCAGCCAUGCCGCGUGGGUGAUGAAGGCCUUAGGGUUGUAAAGCCCUUUCGGCGGGGAAGAUAAUGACGGUACCCGCAGAAGAAGCCCCGGCUAACUUCGUGCCAGCAGCCGCGGUAAUACGAAGGGGGCUAGCGUUGCUCGGAAUCACUGGGCGUAAAGCGCACGUAGGCGGACUCUUAAGUCGGUGGUGAAAUCCUGGAGCUCAACUCCAGAACUGCCUUCGAUACUGGGAGUCUUCGAGUCCGGGAGAGGUGAGUGGAACUGCGAGUGUAGAGGUGAAAUUCGUAGAUAUUCGCAAGAACACCAGUGGUGAAGGCGGCUCACUGGCCCGGUAC
rnacentral:rRNA from 1 species